CAGGACAAUGCUUGUAUUCAAGCUGCCCUCUGAGCUUAGUUCAGUUCUUCAAAUUGCAAAGUUGCUGUAAGAUUGAUUUGCCAGAAAUGUGUGGAUGAAGAAGUGCUGUAAUCUCACUGCAUUUUGACAAAACAGAAGUCCUCUCCUUUUAUUUUUUUGAAAUCCUUACUGCCUCUCCCUUUCCUCUCUAUGGCAGGAUACGCAAUUUCAUCCUAGGAGUAAACAGUCAAGCUUGUACCAGAAGCUGAUGGAGGACACAGAAGUUGGCUUUCAAAUGACAAGGCUUUUCAGAUUCAUGCAUCCCCUGAGCUUCCUUGAAUCUGCUGAGACCACAGAGAAGUGCAUUUUAAUUCAGUGAAUUCAACGAUGUCCUCACUGUGUCAUGAAGACACAAUCCUGAUGUGAGUCAGCACUCAGGACACAGCAGAACAUCCUUAACAGGAUCCAGGCUGUGCAAUCCCAACUUCACCAUCCAUGGAGGUGAAGGAAUCAAAACAAGAGCUGAAUCCUCAUGUGAAAAUAUUGCAGUUCACUCGCUUUACUUCAGAGACAGUUUUCUUGGUAUAUUUUUCCAGCAGGUAAGGCUGCCACGCCUACAGGCCAUAAUCCUCCUUGUCUGAAGCCAAAUAACACAAGGAAUCAAAAUGCCUUCGUGAGCUUUGAAAUGAAACAGUAAGAAGCCUAGAGAAGAUCAUUCCAUUACAAUUUUAUAGCUGGGCUCAUCCAGUAUAGUCAAUGAAGGAGAUAGACAGUAAUCACAACUGAAAUUGCUUUUGAAAAGAUUGGUUUAUUUUUGCUUAGUUUCAGAUCCAGGCAACAGAAUCACUCAAAAAAUCAGAAUUCUGCUGUAUUUCUUACCUUUUUUUUUUCCUUUUCUUUUUUUUCUCCCCAACAAUUGCUUCACACAUACUGUUACAUUGUCUUACAGUUCUCAUCUGGCUGUUUCUUGGCGCCCUUGAGAGCACUAGCUAAAGGGCUGAUCUCCAGGAAGCUUCCCCCCAUUCCCAAGCCAUGAAGAUUUCAAAUGCUGGAAGUAUCCUGGUUCUGAAGCCUGUGCCCCGAAGGCAGCAAAGAAAGACAGUCUACCUUCUGCAGGACUCAAUCUCAUAGACAUGGUCUCAAACAGUGCGAAAAACAGGUGGCUCUUGCUUCUGUUGGGGUAAAAAUGCCAGUGCUGUUUAUAAUAAUGGCUUUAUUUUUCUCCAUUGGAGAGGUUUGAAAUGCAGAAUAGUCAGCAUUCCACAAUUUCUGCC
ensembl:lncRNA